ensembl:snRNA U6 U6 spliceosomal RNA
GUGUCCCUAUCUCCUUUGACAGCACAUAUACUAAAAUUGCAAGGAUACAGAGAAGAUUAGCAUGGCCCUGCUCAAGGAUGAUAUGCAGACUCACGUAGCAUCCCAUCUGAAC